GGAGGAUCCAAGCGUUAUCCGGAAUUACUGGGCGUAAAGAGUUGCGUAGGUGGCAUAGUAAGCAGGUAGUGAAAUCGUGUGGCUCAACCAUACUCACAUCACUUGAACUGCUAAGCUAGAGGGCGAGAGAGGUUACUAGAAUUCCUUGUGUAGGAGUGAAAUCCGUAGAUAUAAGGAGGAAUACCGAUGGCGUAGGCAGGUAACUGGCUCGUCCCUGACACUAAGGCACGAAAGCGUGGGGAGCGACCGGGAUUAGAUACCCCGUCAGUCCACGCCGUAAACGAUGGAUGCUAGCUGUUAUGAGUAUCGACCCUCGUAGUAGCGAAGCUAACGCGUUAAGCAUCCCGCCUGUGGAGUACGGUCGCAAGACUA
rnacentral:rRNA from 1 species